rnacentral:rRNA from 1 species
GUGAGUAAUGUCUGGGAAACUGCCUGAUGGAGGGGGAUAACUACUGGAAACGGUAGCUAAUACCGCAUAACGUCGCAAGACCAAAGUGGGGGACCUUCGGGCCUCAUGCCAUCAGAUGUGCCCAGAUGGGAUUAGCUAGUAGGUGGGGUAAUGGCUCACCUAGGCGACGAUCCCUAGCUGGUCUGAGAGGAUGACCAGCCACACUGGAACUGAGACACGGUCCAGACUCCUACGGGAGGCAGCAGUGGGGAAUAUUGCACAAUGGGCGCAAGCCUGAUGCAGCCAUGCCGCGUGUAUGAAGAAGGCCUUCGGGUUGUAAAGUACUUUCAGCGAGGAGGAAGGCGUUAAGGUUAAUAACCUUGGCGAUUGACGUUACUCGCAGAAGAAGCACCGGCUAACUCCGUGCCAGCAGCCGCGGUAAUACGGAGGGUGCAAGCGUUAAUCGGAAUUACUGGGCGUAAAGCGCACGCAGGCGGUCUGUCAAGUCGGAUGUGAAAUCCCCGGGCUCAACCUGGGAACUGCAUUCGAAACUGGCAGGCUAGAGUCUUGUAGAGGGGGGUAGAAUUCCAGGUGUAGCGGUGAAAUGCGUAGAGAUCUGGAGGAAUACCGGUGGCGAAGGCGGCCCCCUGGACAAAGACUGACGCUCACGUGCGAAAGCGUGGGGAGCAAACAGGGAUUAGAUACCCUGGUAGUCCACGCCGUAAACGAUGUCGACUUGCACGUUGUGCCCUUGAGGCGUGGCUUCCUGGAGCUAACGCGUUAAGUCGACCGCCUGGGGGAGUACUGCCGCAAGGUUAAAACUCAAAUGAAUUGACGGGGGCCCGCACAAGCGGUGGAGCAUGUGGUUUAAUUCGAUGCAACGCGAGGACCUUACCUACUCUUGACAUCCAGAGAACUUAGCAGAGAUGCUUUGGUGCCUUCGGGAACUCUGAGACAGGUGCUGCAUGGCUGUCGUCAGCUCGUGUUGUGAAAUGUUGGGUUAAGUCCCGCAACGAGCGCAACCCUUAUCCUUUGUUGCCAGCGAUUAGGUCGGGAACUCAAAGGAGACUGCCAGUGAUAAACUGGAGGAAGGUGGGGAUGACGUCAAGUCAUCAUGGCCCUUACGAGUAGGGCUACACACGUGCUACAAUGGCAUAUACAAAGAGAAGCGACCUCGCGAGAGCAAGCGGACCUCAUAAAGUAUGUCGUAGUCCGGAUUGGAGUCUGCAACUCGACUCCAUGAAGUCGGAAUCGCUAGUAAUCGUAGAUCAGAAUGCUACGGUGAAUACGUUCCCGGGCCUUGUACACACCGCCCGUCACACCAUGGGAGUGGGUUGCAAAAGAAGUAGGUAGCUUAACCUUCGGGA